ensembl:lincRNA
CCAGAUCACUUAUCUGUGGAACACUAUUUCUAAAGGGUGAAGGGUCAGAGUUGGCUACUUUCUCCCAAUGGGUCAGAAGUGAGACUGCACAGGUUUCAUUCAGCCUCUAUCUCCUGCUGUGCCACCUUAAUCAAAUGCUUAUCCUCUCCAGGACCUCAACAGAUGUGUGUUACUAAAAUACCUACAAAAAUGCUUGUGUUUAUGUUUAAAGAACACCUUCCAGGCCAAGGUCAGCCCCCGUGGAAGACUCCCCAACAGUCGUGGAUGGGCUGGAGGAGAGAAGUCACAACAUGUUUCCUGUUAAAAGAAACUUUAAACCGUAAAUCACUUUCUCACAAGGAAUUUGUUCAUGUUUAUUUCUUAAGAGGAUAUUGAGCAAUGUUGCCCCUUGAGCCUGGUAAAUAUGUUGAUUUAAGAUGUAUAUCUAAUAGUUCCACGAUGCAUUUGACCACAAUGGUUACCUAAAGGGUGUAAUGAGGUAGCUAUCUCCAAGGGAGGG